GUGAGGAAUAUUGGACAAUGGGCGCAAGCCUGAUCCAGCCAUGCCGCGUGCAGGAAGACGCAUCUAUGGUGUGUAAACUGCUUUUGUACGGGAAGAAACACUCCCUCGUGAGGGAGCUUGACGGUACCGUAAGAAUAAGGAUCGGCUAACUCCGUGCCAGCAGCCGCGGUAAUACGGAGGAUCCAAGCGUUAUCCGGAAUCAUUGGGUUUAAAGGGUCCGUAGGCGGUUUAAUAAGUCAGUGGUGAAAGCCCAUCGCUCAACGAUGGAACGGCCAUUGAUACUGUUAGACUUGAAUUACAAGGAAGUAACUAGAAUAUGUAGUGUAGCGGUGAAAUGCUUAGAUAUUACAUGGAAUACCAAUUGCGAAGGCAGGUUACUACUUGUGGAUUGACGCUGAUGGACGAAAACGUGGGGAGCGAACAGGAUUAGAAACCCGUGUAGUCC
rnacentral:rRNA from 1 species